CAGCCGUAAACUAUGCGCGUUAGGUGUAUCGGUGACCACGAGUUACCGAGGUGCCGAAGGGAAACCGUGAAACGUGCCGCCUGGGAAGUACGGUCGCAAGGCUGAAACUUAAAGGGAAUUGGCGGGGGAGCACCACAACAGGUGGAGCCUGCGGUUUAAUUGGACUCAACGCCGGGAAUCUCACCGGAUAGGACAGCGGAAUGAUUGCCGGGCUGAAGACUCUGCAUGACUAGCUGAGAGGAGGUGCAUGGCGUCAGUGACU
rnacentral:rRNA from 1 species